rnacentral:misc_RNA from 1 species
AACUGAUACUACCUGCGGGAACCUGCGGAGGGAUCAUUACCGAGUUUACAACUCCCAAACCCAAUGUGAACGUUACCAAACUGUUGCCUCGGCGGGAUCUCUGCCCCGGGUGCGUCGCAGCCCCGGACCAAGGCGCCCGCCGGAGGACCAACCAAAACUCUUUUUGUAUACCCCCUCGCGGGUUUUUUAUAAUCUGAGCCUUCUCGGCGCCUCUCGUAGGCGUUUCGAAAAUGAAUCAAA